rnacentral:rRNA from 1 species
CCCUUAGAUGUCCUGGGCCGCACGCGCGCUACACUGAUGCAUUCAACGAGUAUUUCCUUGGCCGAGAGGCCUGGGCAAUCUUUUAAACCUGCAUCGUGAUAGGGAUAGAUUAUUGCAAUUAUUAAUCUUGAACGAGGAAUUCCUAGUAAACGCAAAUCAUCAAUUUGCAUUGAUUACGUCCCUGCCCUUUGUACACACCGCCCGUCGCACCUACCGAUUGAAUGGUCCGGUGAAAUCUCGGGAUUGUGGCCAGUUCACUUUAUUGGGAGUUGGCUGCGGGAACUUGCUUAAACCUUAUCAUUUAGAGGAAGGUGAAGUCGUAACA